CAGAAAAUAGUUUAAGUUAAAAUAUUAAUUUUGGAGAUUAAUGAAAAGUGUUCUUUUUUCUGA
rnacentral:tRNA from 1 species